CUGCCCACCUUUGAAAUAUCAAAUACUAUAUGUUUUUAUUUACAAGGGAACAUUGAUCUCUAUGAAACCUUAAAGUCCUUAUUUUGAAACUAUCUCUUAGAUCGGCAAAGAGGUUUGGAUUGUAUUUGAGAAGUUGCUUAAAUUAUUCAGUUGGGUGACGAAGCUUCUGAAUUUUAUGUAAUAAGAAGCUAACUUCCAUAUCAUAUCAAAUCAACAAGAUCUGCUACAAAGAAGCUUUUGCAGUUGUUUCAAAAAAUAUAUUUGGGACUGAUGACAAAAUAAUUACAUACAAUUAAUAAGAGAAUGAGUUGUUUCAACCAGAUACAACAGAUAAAACAGGAAACACUCAUCAUAUGGGGUGAAAAUGACCAAAUCAUCAGCAACACACUGGCUAUGAGACUAGAUACUGAACUGCAAAACUCAUCUUUGCAUCAAAUCCCAAAUGCCGGUCAUCUCCCUCAUGUAGAAACACCGGAUUCAGUUUCCAAGUUGAUCGCCAACUUCG